GACGUAGGGUGCAAGCGUUGUCCGGAUUUAUUGGGCGUAAAGAGCUCGUAGGCGGCUUGUUGCGUCGACUGUGAAAACCCGCGGCUUAACCGCGGGCUUGCAGUUGAUACGGGCAGGCUAGAGUUCGGUAGGGGAGACUGGAAUUCCUGGUGUAGCGGUGAAAUGCGCAGAUAUCAGGAGGAACACCAAUAGCGAAGGCAGCUCGCUGGGACGUUACUGACACUGAGGCGCGAAAGCGUGGGGAGCGAACAGG
rnacentral:rRNA from 1 species